AUACGUAGGGGGCGAGCGUUGUCCGGAAUUACUGGGCGUAAAGGGUGCGUAGGCGGCUUGCCAAGUCCAAUGUGAAAUACCCGGGCUUAACCUGGGGGGUGCAUUGGAAACUGGCAGGCUUGAGUGCAGGAGAGGAAAGCGGAAUUCCUAGUGUAGCGGUGAAAUGCGUAGAUAUUAGGAGGAACACCAGUGGCGAAGGCGGCUUUCUGGACUGCAACUGACGCUGAGGCACGAAAGCGUGGGGAGC
rnacentral:rRNA from 1 species